CUGGAUAUUCAUUUGGAAGCACCGAAUUGAAUGUUUAAGAUGGCAAACACAAAGCACUUGUAUGCAUGGCUUGUUCUGUUAUUAUUCUUAUUAUUAUUACUUAUUCCGAACAAGUGUGAAAGUCGUGCACUGCCACAGGUGGAGAGGAAUAAGAAGAACACAUCAAAGGGGUUCAUGGAAUUCAUGAAGAAAUCGCAGCAACUGAGAGAGAGUUUAGUGAAACAAAGCCUCAUCAAAUUUCCAAACAACUUCGACAUUGAUAGACUUAGUCCUGGAGGUCCUGACCCUAGGCACCAUUGACUCUCAUCUCAACCUCAUCUUUCUUUUUGUCUUUUGCUGUAUUAAAUCUUUUUUUAAUUAAUUACAAAUGUUUCAGGUUUUGGUUUUACACUUCUACUAAUAAUACUCUAUAUGCAAUUUUUUUUUUUGUUUUUUUGUUUUUUGCUAGUUUUUGUCCUCUUAAUCAAGAAUUUGAUAAAAAAUAUAUGGU
rnacentral:lncRNA from 1 species